GACGAACGCUGGCGGCGUGCUUAACACAUGCAAGUCGAACGAUGAAGGAGAGCUUGCUCUCCGGAUUAGUGGCGAACGGGUGAGUAACACGUGACUAACCUGCCCCUUUCUCUGGGAUAACGCUCCGAAAGGAGUGCUAAUACCGGAUACGAACUCUGAACACAUCGUCGGAGUUGGAAAGUUUUUCGGAAAGGGAUGGAGUCGCGGCCUAUCAGCUUGUUGGUGGGGUAAUGGCUCACCAGGGCGACGACGGGGAGCCGGCCUGAGAGGGCGACCGGCCACACUGGGACUGAGACACGGCCCAGACUCCUACGGGAGGCAGCAGUGGGGAAUAUUGCACAAUGGGCGAAAGCCUGAUGCAGCGACGCCGCGUGAGGGAUGAAGGUCUUCGGAUUGUAAACCUCUUUCAGUAGGGACGAAGCGAAAGUGACGUUACCUAAAGAAGAAGCACCGGCUAACCACGUGCCAGCCGCCGCCGUAA
rnacentral:rRNA from 1 species